AUUGAACGCUGGCGGCAUGCCUUACACAUGCGAGUCGAACGGUAACAGGUCUUCGGACGCUGACGAGUGGCGCACGGGUGAGUAAUGCAUCGGAACGUGCCCAGUCGUUGGGGAUAACUGCUCGAAAGAGCAGCUAAUACCUCAUACGACCUGAGGUUUAAAGCGGGGGACCGUAAUGCCUCGCGCGAUUUGAGCGGCCGAUGUCAGAUUAGCUAGUUGGUGGGGUAAAGGCCUACCAAGGCAACGAUCUGUAGUUGGUCUGAGAGGACGACCAGCCACACUGGGACUGAGACACGGCCCAGACUCCUACGGGAGGCAGCAGUGGGGAAUUUUGGACAAUGGGCGCAAGCCUGAUCCAGCAAUGCCGCGUGCAGGAAGAAGGCCUUCGGGUUGUAAACUGCUUUUGUCAGGGAAGAAAUCUUCUGGGCUAAUACCCCGGGAGGAUGACGGUACCUGAAGAAUAAGCACCGGCUAACUACGUG
rnacentral:rRNA from 1 species